CGUCCUGCUGGGUGAUGUCUCAUCUUCUCUUUAUGUGACAGAGAGGUCAUGGUUUGUGACCAAGGGUCCCACUGAUGGCAGCAAUCCAGUGAGACAUAAACAAGCUGAAGCCUCUGAUUACUAAUGCCCCCGUGGGGAGGACAUACCUAACCAUGCCCCAGAGACCCAUAACUGCCUGGUAGCAGCCAAGCAAAUGCCAGCCUGCUGAUGGGGUCUCAAUCCUUUAUCUGCUCACCUAGAUUUGUGGAAGUAUAGGAUAUAAAGUCAAGAAGAUCUUAAUAUGGCUAGAACUGCUACCCUCUCAAUCAAAUUUCAUUGCAACUUGAAGAGAGGGCAGUGAGCACACACCAAGGGAGAUGGACAAAAUGCUUUGUUAAGCCUCUUUCCAGCAGAAACCGGGUGGAAAUGAACCUUGACUGGAGUGAGGCUCGAUCUGUGAACGCUUUUGAGACUGGCAGCUGCUGGGCGGCUGCUAACACCUCGCAGCACUGCUGCUAACACCUCUCUGCCUGCUGCCAGAUCCCUGUGGGCUGACAGAUCCCUGCCAGCCAGGCCAGUGGUUGCAGUGACACACACACACACACAUGCAGGCUGCCAGGAGUGGUGCAGGGAGGAUGCUUCAGCUGCUGAGCACUUGAUUAACUGCGUCAGCUGAGAGGUGCCAAGGGGAAAAAGAAACUCCCACCAUGGAGCAGAGAGCCCCAGUGGCCAGAUGCACUAUCAACACAACCUCAGCAGAGCUACAGGGAUGUUUAUAAAGCAAGGCUGAAGCACCUGCAAUCCACAAAUAAGAGUUAUGCACGCUCCUGCCUGCAGGCUGUGGGGCAGGAGAGAGAAGACGCAGGAGUCGUAUCCUUGGUGGGAAGUGAAAUUCCAUCUCCUGGAUUCCUAGUGCCACCUGCGAAGCAGAAGGCUAGGCCCUUCCUGACGUGUGCCCACAGUCACUCGAGCUGAGGGGACUGCAGGGGAGCACACCUGAACAUAGCACUGCCCUUCAGCGGACCACAAAAGCGUCCAGUACUGAGCACAGGCAGAGGCCAGCACAACACCUUCAGGCUUUGGGAAGAAGUGGGGCAGGCAUUUGCCCCCCAAGAUCCCUGUUCAUCUUGCAGAAGACGGGAAAGAGAGCAUGGAUGCUGUGGUGGAAGGGGCUGAGAAAAGCAAACAGACUGCAGAGGAAGAACGUGCAAGGGAGAAAAUGGUCUGGCUUGUUGAAUGCUGGCGGCACGGUCCCUGCUGAGGUUUGCCAGAUGAUCGAGCAGUGGAAACCCAUCUCUACCCAUAUACCAGCAAGUUGCCCUCUUCCACCUAUGUUAUCUAGGAAGUCCCAUUGCUAAUAAAUUUACUGUGGAGUGAACCUGAUGGGAAAGCUUUUUACUUGACUACCCUACAGCACUGAGCAUUUUAAAUGAUCUUUUAUCCAGGGGCAUACAGUCACAUCAGACUUGGUACUGUGUGUCUGGGAGUGCGGCCUGGGGUAUCUGGAUGGAGCUUCUCUUGUGUGGGGAGGGCUGUGUUCACCUGCUGGUCCUAAAGGUAUGAAGGAGACCUACAGGUGGAAGAAGAAAGAGUCUGAGAGCACUGACCAUGGCAGCUGAUCAUAGAAGAAAUUACCUGCUCUCAGAGCCAGGGAACAGAAUGCAUGGGGUAUCUUGGUUCAGAGGGAAAUAAGAUGUCCAACCCUGCUAGCUGACCCUGACCACUUCAGUCUGCUCGGGGACAGCUGCAGGACAUUUACAUUGCAGAUGUUGGUCUGAUUGCAACCUGGAACCAGUCUGGAAAGUUUUUGCCAGCCACACUGACAGUCCAUAGAUAUAACUUUCUCUCCCAUAGAUACAACUUCAGCAUAUUUUUUAACAGUUCACAAGGGCUGGCCAGGCUCAGCAUUUGGGUGCAAGGCAGACACUGAAUUGCUUGUUGCUGUGCUUGUCCCACAGCAGCUACAGGCUUCUUUCUUCUGCUCUCUACCCAGCUGAGGUCCUGUCCACUAUGAGGAGCGACAGUGCUGGUGACUAAAUGAACGCUGUAGUGGUGUACAAAUGGAGAAAGGAUGACCCAAAUGAGACCUGGUCACCAGAGAUGCUCUUGUCAAUGUCUUAAACACAGCGGUGUUCAGCCUAAUGUCCUAGUCAGUUUAAUGUAUGUAAUGACAUUCACAUUACACCAGAUCUCCUCACACCCUCAACUGUGAUUUCAGUUCUUAUCCCCACAUCCCACAUAUUGAACUUUUACAUUCAGACAGUUGAAAGAGACUGAAUUCCUUGGGACAGUGACUGGUUUCCAUUUGCUCUGACAAGUACUAAUGGGGCUGAAUAAAUAGCAAAAAGUGGUCGUAAAGUAACAGGACAAUCAUUACCACAUUUCUUAAGCUGUUGCCUGGCACUGCUAGGUGCCAUUAGGUAUCUGCCACAUUAUGCCUUAGGAGCUUCUGGGUCUUUGCAGUGUUUGCUUUGUGUAAAUGAGAACAACUGCCAAGCUCUUCUGGCUUUGGUUUUGUCCAUACAACCCACGCAGAGGCUCAGGAGAUGGGCAGCAGCCAAGGCAGA